CGGGAUAUAGCUCAGUGGUAGAGUACCUGCUUAGCACGCACAAGGUCCUGGGUUCAAUACCCAGUAUCUCCA
rnacentral:tRNA from 1 species